CUCUAUUUGGUUCAAGAUGUUUUGGAUAGAGCGAUGCGCAUCACCCACCGAUCAAGGGGAGUUCGAUAGGUGGGCGGUAAAGGUAACAAUCAUAACUUGUCAUAGACACGAUAAAGAUGCCCGUUUUAGCUGCUAGACGGGAUAAGCAUCAAAGGAAUAAGUGAUUGUUAUUGUGGGACCGGAAUGGGGGGCUUUUAGCCUUAACUCACAGCGCAGGG
ncrna:Vibrio nigripulchritudo PAGEV RNA